AGCUCCAAUAGCGUAUAUUAAAGUUGUUGCAGUUAAAAAGCUCGUAGUUGGAUUUCGGAGCUGAGCGUGUGGUCUGCCGUAAGGUUAGUACUGCUCGCUUGGUUCUUCUUCUCGUGGAACGCGUGUGCUCUUCACUGAGUGUGCGUGGGACUCGGGACUUUUACUUUGAAAAAAUUAGAGUGUUCAAGGCAGGCGUCACUAGCUUGAAUACAUGAGCAUGGAAUAAUGGAAUAGGACCUCGGUCCCUAUUUCGUUGGUUUUAUGGACCGAGGUAAUGAUUAAGAGGGACAGUUGGGGGCAUCCGUAUUUCGCAGUCAGAGGUGAAAUUCUUGGAUCUGCGAAAGACGAACAAGUGCGAAAGCAUUUGCCAAGAGUGUUUUCAUUAAUCAAGAACGAAAGU
rnacentral:rRNA from 1 species